AUUUUGAAGUGCUCCAUGAUGCCAAUGCAGGUGGAUGGGGAGCCGUGGGCCCAGGGGCCCUGCACUGUCACCAUAACUCACAAGACACACGCACUGAUGUUGUAUUUCUCUGGAGAACAGACGGAUGAGGACAUCUCCAGUACUUCAGAUCAAGAGGACUUAAAGGAAACCGAGUUGACGGAUGAGGAAAUGCAAGUUUAGAGGAGAAUCCUCACACACACGUAGAUACAUGGUCAUCCAAAAGUUAGAAAUUCCCUAUCAACUGUUUAGUCUUAAUUUCACCAGUAGUGUAAUGGGGAUACGUUUAUGUAAAUAGCAUUCCAGAAACAGCCAAAUUUCCAGUUAUUUACAGACACCUGUUCCUUUUUCAGCAAAACACCCCAGUCGUAUUGAACUAACUUGAAAAAGUCACAGAACGUUAAUUACUCAAAGAUUUCUCUCAUCCUUUGCUGUCCUGGUGCAUUCCCAACUCCUUCAGCUUAGCGGCUUAAACACGAAGUACCUGGCAGCUCGUAUGGAUCCCAUAAGUAGAUGGUGAUAAUUUCAGUGCUUUGUUAUGUUCAGUAGAAAUCAAACUGACUUGUGUUUUAAAAUACAGGUUGUCUGAUAGAUUACAUGAUCUUAAAUGAGUUUUAGGUUUUCUGCAACAAUUAGCUGUGAACCCUUAAUGUAGCUAAUGUUUAUAAAAAUUUUAUAUAGUCAGAAUUACUUAUUUUUAUUUUUGUAGGGUGUGUCAAAACAUGUAGUAUUUGCUUUUUGAAAUAUGUUUGCCUACUUAGAGUUGUAAAAUAUUCUGUGACUCAGAAAUUGUAAAGUCCUUUGACAUACUACCAGCAUGUCAAAAGAAAAAUAGUUUGCAUUUGUAAUAUAAAGCAAAAUUGUAUUUACUGUAUAUUAUGGAAUUUUAAAUUUGCACUAACUAGAAUACUUUAAAGGUUUAUUAAUUUACAGAUUCAUGUGGAUCCGAAUACAUAAUCUUUACUUGUUCGGCCAAAAAGGUCAAUAGAAUAGGUGAUAGUUUUGCGUGGUUUUUCCUUGAGAUGAUAAUAUUGAAGCAAGAACCAGCACUUUAUAUUCGGAGGUUUUUUUAAUUCUACCUAAUUUGGGACGAUGGAAUAUAAGUAGAUUUAUUUUAAAAAUUAUCUAGGAAUUUAAAAAGAAAAAAGAGUGUUGUUAUCUGUCCCAGUCUGAAUGAAGGUAUGUUCUCAGCGACAAGAUGGAAGCAGUGGUUUUGGUUUUGCUUUUAAAAUAUGCCCCUGCCUUUCUCAAAUUUUCCCUUUAAGGCCUGUCUCCUGUUACUCAAAGUGUGAUCUGCACGUUGCCUGCAGCCUCAGAAACCCCUGGGCGCUGACAGCCUCUGAUGCCGAAGCCCAGCCCCUGACUUGAGGAAUCCGUGUCUCCGGAGAUGGGACAGAGACAUCUCCGGUUUUAUUCACAGGCAUCUCGGGUGCUCAUGAUGCACACUGACAUUUUUCAAGCGACUGGUCCGUACCUCGCGUUCACCCAGGGCUUUUGCUGGAUGGAUACCUGGUAGAAAAAUUGAAUUGGGUGUUCUUAAAGUUGUUUUUCCUUCACUCCACUGGAGUUCUUCCCCCCAAAUCAUUCUUCUAGAGGAAUUCUAUGAACAGUUUGUUCCUGUCCUCUCCAAAUUCAUGUAUCCGUCUAGACUCAAUUACAUAAAAAUUGGUAGCCUCAGAUCCUUCCGUGGAAACAGGUUUUGAACUGUGAUCCAUGGAGUCUCAGAGAACAAGCAGUGCUGGGGGCCAGUGGAGUGGACCCCCAGGGGCUCCUGCUUUCUCACUUCACUCAGUGCAGGCCCCUGCUGGACGCUGCUUCAGAUAAGACUUCGGUAGGUAAAAUACUUCCUCUUUUUGAAGGAAUAAAAAAAAAAAAAGGAUUCCACUAUUUUUUAAGGGUUUGGAAGCCACUAUUCUAAUGACUUUUGUCAGCUGGUUCAUUUUCUGCUGAUUUGUACAUAUUCAGAAACCUCAUGUUUUUUGGUGAAAAAUACUUCGAUGGUCUCGGUUGCUGCUUGGAAUGUGACUAUUGGGCUAUUUCUCAAGUUUUAAAGGCAUUUUGUUGAAUAGUAAAGCACUGGCUUAACCUCCGAUUCUCCUGUUUCUAAUUUUAGCGUAGAAAUGGUCUGAGUAUUUAGUUAAUUUCAGUUCUGUAAAUACACACACCCGUUUACCCCCACAGCCCUGCCUGUAGUCAUGCAUGAGGCUUGCAGGGAUCCAAAAGGGACAUGCCAAGGAUCUGGAGGAAGAAUCCAAAAAUGUCCCUCUCUCAUACAGAAGUUCACCAAACUUAAAUGAUUGAACCUAGUCACCUGCAGAAACAUCAGAAGCCGUAGAUACGAGUGUAUUGCUGAUGCUAGACACUCCCUCUCUGCAGCUCACUUCCUGGGCUGCCUCACCACGAAAGGGAAGUGUCCACGCAGGACGCCCUGCGCAGAUCAACCAUAGGAAAUUUCCACUGUGUGGUGCUUUUUGGUGACCGAUGUGGGAAGAUGGAAAGGAGAGCUGGGAAGUUAGGUUGCUGCCCUUGUUCCCCUCACACUGUCCAGGUGACAGGGCAUCCGUCACGUGCACAGACUCUGCCACGUGUGAGAACAUUGCUGCCGGAAUGGGCACUGUGACUCGUAAUUCUGUUUUCUACACGUUUAGAGCAGCCUGGAUCCUUGGCCUCGAUCACUCGCAGGUGAGCUGGCUGAACUGGCUCUCUGAGCCCACAGUGUCAACACUUGGGAUGGCUCCAGCCACGCACACCAACUGGCCUUUGCCCUUUCUCCCCACCCCUGGCCACAGUGCCACGUACCUACUGCUUAAGUACCCUGCGUUACUCGCUUUGUUGUGUUUGCUCUGUAUUGUGGUCGAUGCCUACAGACAGAGAAAUGUGAAUUAAAGCAUUUGAUAUGUUGGAAACGUUUGUUUUUUAAUAAAAUUUAAAGUGCAGCACUCCAAAAAGUA